GACAGAGGGUGCAAACGUUGUUCGGAAUUACUGGGCGUAAAGCGCACGUAGGCGGCUCUUUAAGUCGGGGGUGAAAUCCUGGAGCUCAACUCCAGAACUGCCUUCGAUACUGUAGAGCUUGAGUUCGGGAGAGGUGAGUGGAACUGCGAGUGUAGAGGUGAAAUUCGUAGAUAUUCGCAAGAACACCAGUGGCGAAGGCGGCUCACUGGCCCGAUACUGACGCUGAGGCGCGAAAGCUAGGGUAGCAAACGGG
rnacentral:rRNA from 1 species